GGGUUGUUGCUGGCCCCCAAAAGGGGCACGUGCACGCUCUGUUUACACAUCCACUCACACCUGUGCACCCUCUGUAGUUCUGUGGAUCGGGAGACGUCGUCUUCCUUCUGCGGCUCUACUUCUUUACACACACACUGUAGCGAAGUCUCAUGGAAUGUUUUUUCGCGUUUAACGCAAUACAAUACAACUUUCAGCAACGGAUCUCUUGGCUCUCGCAUCGAUGAAGAACGCAGCGAAAUGCGAUAAGUAAUGUGAAUUGCAGAAUUCAGUGAAUCAUCGAAUCUUUGAACGCACCUUGCGCCCCUUGGUUAUUCCUCGGGGCAUGCCUGUUUGAGUAUCAUGAACAUCUCAACUCUCAUGGUCUUCCGUGAUGAGCUUGGACUUUGGGGGUUUGCUGGCCCUGUGGCCGGCUCCUCUCAAAUGGAUCAGCUUGCCAGUGUUUGGCGGCGUCACGGGUGUGAUAACUAUCUACGCCCGCGGCCGUCUGUCAGGUAACCCUCAGCGAUGAAGGUUCAUUGGGGCUCACAAAUGUCUCUCCCCGGCGAGGACAACUUUUGAACGUUCGAUCUCAAAUCAGGUAGGACUACCCGCUGAACUUAAGCAUAUCAAUAAGCGGAGGAAAAGAAACUAACAAGGAUUCCCCUAGUAACUGCGAGUGAAGCGGGAAGAGCUCAAAUUUAAAAUCUGGCGUGCCUUUGGUCGUCCGAAUUGUAGUCUGGAGAAGCGUUUUCGGCGCUGGACCGUG
rnacentral:rRNA from 1 species